AGACAUUUAGAAGAAUGUUAGAAACCAGUAACCAUUGACCUCCAUAGUAUUUGUUUUUUCUACUAUUAAAGUAAAUGCUUACGGGUUUCCGACAUGUUUCUGAAUAUCUUCUUUU
rnacentral:miRNA from 1 species